UAUGGCAAGUGAUGAGGAUUUUUGAUCGUAUACUGAUGAACCCUGUAGACUUACAACUCCGCUUAUUAUCUGAUGCCAUU